ACGCGAAAAACCUUACCUACCCUUGACAUGUCAGAAAAUUUUCAGAGAUGAAUUUGUGCCUGAAAGGGAAUCUGAACACAGGUGCUGCAUGGCUGUCGUCAGCUCGUGUCGUGAGAUGUUGGGUUAAGUCCCGCAACGAGCGCAACCCUUGUCAUUAAUUGCCAUCAUUUGGUUGGGCACUUUAAUGAGACUGCCGGUGAUAAACCGGAGGAAGGUGGGGGAUGACGUCAAGUCCUCAUGGCCCUUAUGGGUAGGGCUUCACACGUAAUACAAUGGCGCGUACAGAGGGUUGCCAACCCGCGAGGGGGAGCUAAUCUCAGAAAGCGCGUCGUAGUCCGGAUCGGAGUCUGCAACUCGACUCCGUGAAGUUGGAAUCGCUAGUAAUCGCGGAUCAGCAUGUCGCGGUGAAUACGUUCCCGGGGUCUUGUACUAC
rnacentral:rRNA from 1 species